GACGAACGCUGGCGGCGUGCUUAACACAUGCAAGUCGAACGGAAAGGCCCUGCUUUUGUGGGGUGCUCGAGUGGCGAACGGGUGAGUAACACGUGAGUAACCUGCCCUUGACUUUGGGAUAACUUCAGGAAACUGGGGCUAAUACCGGAUAGGAGCUCCUGCUGCGUGGUGGGGGUUGGAAAGUUGCGGCGGUUGGGGAUGGACUCGCGGCUUAUCAGCUUGUUGGUGGGGUAGUGGCUUACCAAGGCUUUGACGGGUAGCCGGCCUGAGAGGGUGACCGGCGACAUUGGGCCUGCGAGACGGACCAGACCGCUACGGGAGGCAGCGGUGGGGAAUAUUGCACAAUGGGCGGACGCCUGAUGCAACGGCGUCGCGUGCGGGAUGACGGCCUUCGGGUUGUAAACCGCUUUCGCCUGUGACGAAGCGUGAGUGACGGUAAUGGGUAAAGAAGCACCGGCUAACUACGUG
rnacentral:rRNA from 1 species